UACGUAGGGUGCGAGCGUUAAUCGGAAUUACUGGGCGUAAAGCGUGCGCAGGCGGUUCUCCAAGUCCGUUGUGAAAGCCCCGGGCUCAACCUGGGAAUGGCAGUGGAAACUGGCGGGCUUGAGUGUGGCAGAGGGGGGUGGAAUUCCGCGUGUAGCAGUGAAAUGCGUAGAGAUGCGGAGGAACACCGAUGGCGAAGGCAGCCCCCUGGGCUGACACUGACGCUGAGGCACGAAAGCGUGGGGAGCAAACAGG
rnacentral:rRNA from 1 species